ACCAAAAUUAAAAUAAUAAUACUAAAUAUAAUUUAACAAAAUAACCCAAGUUGAAUCCUUGGUCUCCCAUUCUACUUCGUCUUCAUCAUCGUCUUCAGGUGUUGUCGGAGGGGUGCAGAGUCAUCGAGCCGAAGUCGCUGGUGCGACAAAAACUGAUGGAAGGAGAUCGGCACCGAAGUUUGAAUCUUGUAGUGAAGUCGCCGUCAGAAGGGGAUUAGGGCCCAAGUCAUCAUCAAUGGCUAUGGGUCGAGUUUCUGGCGACGGGGGUUGCAAAUCGUCGACACACGACGACUCAGAGAUGGCUCUGGUGUGGGCGAGCAUGCAAUCUGGUGGGUGUAGAUCUGGUUGGGUCAUGACUCCAAAUCUUGAGCAAGGAGGUUGUAGGUAAGAGGCUUGGAGGCGCUUCGGUUAUCAACGAAGGUGUUGGAUUUGGGCUUGGAGGCUAGUUCUCGAUAUCAACUGGUGUGGCUAGAUCGAAGUCUCUUGAUUUGUAUCGGCCUCGAUAUCGACUGUGCGAAUUGUGAAGAGGGAUUUUGAGCUGGGUUCGAUCGAAGUCUCUUGAUUUGUAUCACCCUCUAAUUAGAUGUGCACAAAUUUGAAUAAAAAUUUAGAGAGGAUUUUGAAUUUUGUUUUUUAUUGUUUGGGUGAACAUAUUUUGAUUUGAUUCUGGGUUUGGAAUCUUAAUCUAGGUUUCAUGGAUGAACUCAUAACAUGUUUUGCUUUGAUUAUUUAAUAUGAAUGUCGGUUUUUUUUUUC